AUUGAACGCUGGCGGCAUGCUUUACACAUGCAAGUCGAACGGUAACAGGGAGCUUGCUCCGCUGACGAGUGGCGAACGGGUGAGUAAUAUAUCGGAACGUACCCAAGAGUGGGGGAUAACGUAGCGAAAGUUACGCUAAUACCGCAUACGAUCUAUGGUUGAAAGUGAGGGAUCGCAAGACCUCAUGUCCCUGGAGCGGCUGAUAUCUGAUUAGCUAGUCGGUGAGGUAAAGGCUCACCAAGGCGACGAUCAGUAGCUGGUCUGAGAGGACGACCAGCCACACUGGAACUGAGACACGGUCCAGACUCCUACGGGAGGCAGCAGUGGGGAAUUUUGGACAAUGGGCGCAAGCCUGAUCCAGCAAUGCCGCGUGAGUGAAGAAGGCCUUCGGGUUGUAAAGCUCUUUUGUCAGGGAAGAAACGGGAGUGGCUAAUAUCCAUUCCUAAUGACGGUACCUGAAGAAUAAGCACCGGCUAACUACGUGCCAGCCGCCGCCGUAA
rnacentral:rRNA from 1 species